AGCGUACACGGUGGAUGCCCUGGCAGUCAGAGGCGAUGAAGGACGUGCUAAUCUGCGAUAAGCGUCGGUGAGGUGAUAUGAACCGUUAUAACCGGCGAUUUCCGAAUGGGGAAACCCAGUGUGUUUCGACACACUAUCAUUAACUGAAUCCAUAGGUUAAUGAGGCGAACCGGGGGAACUGAAACAUCUAAGUACCCCGAGGAAAAGAAAUCAACCGAGAUUCCCCCAGUAGCGGCGAGCGAACGGGGAGGAGCCCAGAGCCUGAAUCAGUGUGUGUGUUAGUGGAAGCGUCUGGAAAGGCGCGCGAUACAGGGUGACAGCCCCGUACACAAAAAUGCACAUGCUGUGAGCUCGAUGAGUAGGGCGGGACACGUGGUAUCCUGUCUGAAUAUGGGGGGACCAUCCUCCAAGGCUAAAUACUCCUGACUGACCGAUAGUGAACCAGUACCGUGAGGGAAAGGCGAAAAGAACCCCGGCGAGGGGAGUGAAAAAGAACCUGAAACCGUGUACGUACAAGCAGUGGGAGCCUCUUAAUGGGGUGACUGCGUACCUUUUGUAUAAUGGGUCAGCGACUUAUAUUCUGUAGCAAGGUUAACCGAAUAGGGGAGCCGAAGGGAAACCGAGUCUUAACUGGGCGUUAAGUUGCAGGGUAUAGACCCGAAACCCGGUGAUCUAGCCAUGGGCAGGUUGAAGGUUGGGUAACACUAACUGGAGGACCGAACCGACUAAUGUUGAAAAAUUAGCGGAUGACUUGUGGCUGGGGGUGAAAGGCCAAUCAAACCGGGAGAUAGCUGGUUCUCCCCGAAAGCUAUUUAGGUAGCGCCUCGUGAAUUCAUCUCCGGGGGUAGAGCACUGUUUCGGCAAGGGGGUCAUCCCGACUUACCAACCCGAUGCAAACUGCGAAUACCGGAGAAUGUUAUCACGGGAGACACACGGCGGGUGCUAACGUCCGUCGUGAAGAGGGAAACAACCCAGACCGCCAGCUAAGGUCCCAAAGUCAUGGUUAAGUGGGAAACGAUGUGGGAAGGCCCAGACAGCCAGGAUGUUGGCUUAGAAGCAGCCAUCAUUUAAAGAAAGCGUAAUAGCUCACUGGUCGAGUCGGCCUGCGCGGAAGAUGUAACGGGGCUAAACCAUGCACCGAAGCUGCGGCAGCGACGCUUAUGCGUUGUUGGGUAGGGGAGCGUUCUGUAAGCCUGUGAAGGUGGCCUGUGAGGGUUGCUGGAGGUAUCAGAAGUGCGAAUGCUGACAUAAGUAACGAUAAAGCGGGUGAAAAGCCCGCUCGCCGGAAGACCAAGGGUUCCUGUCCAACGUUAAUCGGGGCAGGGUGAGUCGACCCCUAAGGCGAGGCCGAAAGGCGUAGUCGAUGGGAAACAGGUUAAUAUUCCUGUACUUGGUGUUACUGCGAAGGGGGGACGGAGAAGGCUAUGUUGGCCGGGCGACGGUUGUCCCGGUUUAAGCGUGUAGGCUGGUUUUCCAGGCAAAUCCGGAAAACCAAGGCUGAGGCGUGAUGACGAGGCACUACGGUGCUGAAGCGACAAAUGCCCUGCUUCCAGGAAAAGCCUCUAAGCAUCAGGUAACAUCAAAUCGUACCCCAAACCGACACAGGUGGUCAGGUAGAGAAUACCAAGGCGCUUGAGAGAACUCGGGUGAAGGAACUAGGCAAAAUGGUGCCGUAACUUCGGGAGAAGGCACGCUGAUAUGUAGGUGAAGCGACUUGCUCGUGGAGCUGAAAUCAGUCGAAGAUACCAGCUGGCUGCAACUGUUUAUUAAAAACACAGCACUGUGCAAACACGAAAGUGGACGUAUACGGUGUGACGCCUGCCCGGUGCCGGAAGGUUAAUUGAUGGGGUUAGCGGCAACGCGAAGCUCUUGAUCGAAGCCCCGGUAAACGGCGGCCGUAACUAUAACGGUCCUAAGGUAGCGAAAUUCCUUGUCGGGUAAGUUCCGACCUGCACGAAUGGCGUAAUGAUGGCCAGGCUGUCUCCACCCGAGACUCAGUGAAAUUGAACUCGCUGUGAAGAUGCAGUGUACCCGCGGCAAGACGGAAAGACCCCGUGAACCUUUACUAUAGCUUGACACUGAACAUUGAGCCUUGAUGUGUAGGAUAGGUGGGAGGCUUUGAAGUGUGGACGCCAGUCUGCAUGGAGCCGACCUUGAAAUACCACCCUUUAAUGUUUGAUGUUCUAACGUUGGCCCGUAAUCCGGGUUGCGGACAGUGUCUGGUGGGUAGUUUGACUGGGGCGGUCUCCUCCUAAAGAGUAACGGAGGAGCACGAAGGUUGGCUAAUCCUGGUCGGACAUCAGGAGGUUAGUGCAAUGGCAUAAGCCAGCUUGACUGCGAGCGUGACGGCGCGAGCAGGUGCGAAAGCAGGUCAUAGUGAUCCGGUGGUUCUGAAUGGAAGGGCCAUCGCUCAACGGAUAAAAGGUACUCCGGGGAUAACAGGCUGAUACCGCCCAAGAGUUCAUAUCGACGGCGGUGUUUGGCACCUCGAUGUCGGCUCAUCACAUCCUGGGGCUGAAGUAGGUCCCAAGGGUAUGGCUGUUCGCCAUUUAAAGUGGUACGCGAGCUGGGUUUAGAACGUCGUGAGACAGUUCGGUCCCUAUCUGCCGUGGGCGCUGGAGAACUGAGGGGGGCUGCUCCUAGUACGAGAGGACCGGAGUGGACGCAUCACUGGUGUUCGGGUUGUCAUGCCAAUGGCACUGCCCGGUAGCUAAAUGCGGAAGAGAUAAGUGCUGAAAGCAUCUAAGCACGAAACUUGCCCCGAGAUGAGUUCU
rnacentral:rRNA from 1 species